GGGGUGGGGGGGGAUUUUUUUCUUGCCUAUUGGGGGCGUAGGCGUAAGAACCUAGCUUCGCCGCUCGUCAAAAAGCCUCCACUCGCCACAACGUUCUACGAAGUGCCGCCCACCACCGGAGCAACCGGCCGCUGGCACACCGCUGGGCGGAGGUAGGGGGCAGGGGAAGGAACGGGUAUCGCUACCCACUACCGGGCUGCAGGAAGAGGUAUAGGGCGUGGGCGCGAGGGAAUAGAGGCAGCGGUGCGACCGUCGCCGGGGAAGGAGGUGAGGGGCGAGGAGAAGCAGUGCGUGCUGUUGCCUUCCUCCCCAGGACUACCCUCGUUCCGAACGCUGGGGCGGCAGUGUUGACGAGACCUCGGGGCUGUUUCGAUCGUUGUCGUUGUGUCCAAGGUACCGGAGACAGCGUGUAGACGGCGGGUCGGCAGGGGUCCCAUCCACCACCGAGCAUAAGACGAACGACACCCGACGUAGAGGAGGGUGUUGUUGCCGGCCGUUGAUCCAAGCGGUAGCCUCAAGAAGUCGUAACGGGGGACAGACAGUAAAAUGUGCUGAAGAAUUCAGUAGGGCCGGAGGGGUAAGACAAAGUUGUACUGAAGAAACAUAAAUAACCUCGUUCCGCCAUUACGUCGGAGGAGCGCAAUCUGUCACACGAGGGUGUGGAGAAUACGGUCUUGCCACCGUAGGAAGUAGUGUCGGUGGCGGAGGAACGGUCCGGUCAGUGAGUGUACGGUCGCGAGAGAACGUGGCUUAAUCGGCCGACUAACUGCCCCAGUCAAGAGCUCCCUGCUACGUUCCGCGACCAAAGGACACUGCAAAGCAAUACGUUGUGGUAAAACGGGGACCGAAAGAGAAGGUUGUCCAAUUUUCAUCAGAUCUUUCGUUACUUCCGGAACACGACUAACUCCUUUAAGACUUUUUACACCAGGAGACCUCUGUAAAAAGACGUUAAAGGGAGCUAUAUAAGAAUUUGCACCAUCCAUACCAACAUAUUUGUGUGACGAUUUCUCAGUAGAAUCAAUAGACUAUGUCACCUACAAGAUACAGUUACUGAUAUCAAACCUCACCAGUUAAAUGGUUUGGUCACAAUUCAUACACAUGGUUUAUGUACAACGGAAGUAACAUAUGAGAAGAGUAGGAAACGUCAUUCGCUACAACAAAGUAAACACGAAAAAAGAAACAUUUCUCGAUCGACAUAUAUGUUGUCAUAUACAAUCAUCUCUUUUCCGACUUUGCCG
rnacentral:rRNA from 1 species